rnacentral:misc_RNA from 1 species
AAGAGUUAGGGUCCUCUGGGCCCGACCCUCCCAACCCUUUGUUUACUGAACCUCUGUUGCUCUUCGGCGGACCCGCCUCACGGCCGCCGGAGGAUCGCCCCCAGGCGUCCUCUGGCCAGCGUCCGCCGACAGCCACUCUCAAAACUCUUGAAUAAAUCAUGUCAUUGUCUAAGUUAUGAUGUAAAUCAAUAAAGCA